CAAGGAAUUUUGCACAAUCGACGCAAGUCGGAUGCAGCAACGCCGCGUGGGGGAAGAAGGCCUUCGGGUCGUAAACCCCUUUUGCGAGGGAAGAAGAUCUGACGGUACCUCGCGAAUAAGUCACGGCUAACUACGUGCCAGCAGCCGCGGUAAUACGUAGGUGGCGAACGUUGUCCGGAUUCACUGGGCGUAAAGCGCGCGCAGGCGGGCUGAUCAGUCUGGGGUGAAAUCUCUCGGCUCAACCGAGAGGGGCCCUCAGAUACUGUCAGCCUUGAGGUGCCUAGAGGAGAGUGGAAUUCAGGGUGUAGUGGUGGAAUGCGUAGAUAUCCUGAGGAACACCAGUGGCGAAGGCGACUCUCUGGGGGCAUUCUGACGCUGAGGCGCGAAAGCGUGGGGAGCGAACCGGAUUAGAUACCCCCGUAGUCC
rnacentral:rRNA from 1 species